UCCCUGGUAGUAUAUCGGUUAGUACACGCGCCUGUCACUAACACCUGCUUUGUACACCGCGCGAAAGCUGGGUUCGACUCCCAGCCAGGGAG